rnacentral:rRNA from 1 species
CCUACGGGAGGCACCAGUGGGGGAUUUUGGACAAUGGGCGAAAGCCUGAUCCAGCAAUGCCGCGUGCAGGAUGAAGGCCCUCGGGUUGUAAACUGCUUUUGUACGGAACGAAAAGCCUGGGGCUAAUAUCCUCGGGUCAUGACGGUACCGUAAGAAUAAGCACCGGCUAACUACGUGCCAGCAGCCGCGGUAAUACGUAGGGUGCAAGCGUUAAUCGGAAUUACUGGGCGUAAAGCGUGCGCAGGCGGUUUUGUAAGACAGUGGUGAAAUCCCCGGGCUCAACCUGGGAACUGCCAUUGUGACUGCAAGGCUAGAGUGCGGCAGAGGGGGAUGGAAUUCCGCGUGUAGCAGUGAAAUGCGUGGAUAUGCGGAGGAAUACCGAUGGCGAAGGCAAUCCCCUGGGCCUGCACUGACGCUCAUGCACGAAAGCGUGGGGAGCAAACAGGAUUAGAUACCCUCGUAGUC